rnacentral:rRNA from 1 species
UACGUAGGGUGCGAGCGUUGUCCGGAAUUACUGGGCGUAAAGAGCUCGUAGGUGGUUUGUCGCGUUGUCCGUGAAAACUCACAACUCAAUUGUGGGCGUGCGGGCGAUACGGGCAGACUGGAGUACUGCAGGGGAGACUGGAAUUCCUGGUGUAGCGGUGGAAUGCGCAGAUAUCAGGAGGAACACCGGUGGCGAAGGCGGGUCUCUGGGGCUUUGCUGACGCUGAUGCGCGAAAGCGUGGGGAGCGAUCCGG